GUACAUUUUGACAUUAAAAAAAAAAAAAAAGUUAUAGGGCUUUUAAGAAAGCCUAAUGAAUAAAAAAUAUGCUUACAGCAUUUAGAUAUUGGGCAGAGUCAGUUUGGGCCUGCAGCCCUUGCCCUCUGAAGGGUAUUUUCCCACUGCCAUUAGGAUCACAGGCAGUAACUCUCUCUUGCUUCUGACUCUUUAUUCAUUCCUUCAGAGGAUGCUAGCUAAAUAGCAGAUAAGUAAAUACGUAAUCAAUGAGACAUUUAUUGAAUGUUAAUGCUUUGUUUAUUAGGGCUUAGAAAUUUAAAUAGGUCCCAUUAAGAUGUAGAGUGCACAGCAGGAAAACUUCUCAAUGUCACAGACCCCAAUCACAGAAUAAUGGUGAGGUGGGGCUUUCCAAAUGGGAACUGCUUUGUGGCUAAGGUGUGGGGCUUCUUCUGUUUGCUGCCUCUCACCCUGCAUCAGCAGGCUGCACACAAGGACAUCUCCACUGCAGGACGAGCCAUGCAGGGCUUCCCGCAGCUUCCCUGACCCGAGCUGACUGGUCCUCUUGAGUCUGAGCUCAGGGAAGCCAUGCAAGCACAGUGGAAUUCCUGUGCUAGCAACCUGAAACAGAGCUUCUGAGCUCAUGCCUGGCUGUUGCAGCUGGAUUAUAUCUGGGCUCAGCUGGCUCACCUCCAGUUUGGCUGUCCUUCCCUGUGUUGAGGUAGACCCUAUUUAGUUUCUUCAGUGAAGACUGAGAACAUCAGUCACUAAUGUAACAGCUGGAAUGUGCAGAAGCAUUAUCACAAUAGGAAUUGCAGCCACUGUCAGAAUUUCUGGUGGAGAUGUCUGCAAGGAGGGGUGGAAAUCCCAUCAUUGGAGCCACAUGAAACCGCACAAGCAAAAUAUGGAGGCCCUCAUCGCUCAGGCCUGCAUAAGGGCCCACUGAGCUCACAGUGUGCAGGAGAGAGCCUCAGCACGGCCUGAUGCCAACGAGCAAACUGUCACCUGAGAAGGGCCCACAGCUCUCCUCAGGAGCCGACUCCAUCCCCACACAGGGCUGGAGGCCACGUUCUUUGCUGCACACUGUGAGCUCAGUGGGCCCUUAUGCAGGCCUGAGCGAUGAGGGCCAGGCUAAGCAGGCCCUGAUGAGCAAGUGCAGGCCCUGGUGUACGAGGUGCAGGCUGCCUGAGGUGCUCAGCAUGGACAGGAUACAGCUGGCUCUGCCGCCUGUGUGGCAUAGAGGUGUGAGGGCCAGGAGCUGGGCCUGCAGCUCGGCGUGCUGCUGGCUGCUCACUGGCAUGGCUGGGGUUGUUACCUUGCGGCUAAUUACAGUGCUUUCACCAGCCCUGCAAACACUGCACGUUUUUAGCACUUGCUGAAAAGUUUAAGAUGUGUCCUGGGUGUGUGUUUGCAGUAGACGCUACGUUUUACGAGCAUUUUUUUCCUUCCUGUAACAGUAGUAACUCUACCUUUACUCUGGCCUCGUUUUUCUAGUCAAGUCUGGUCCAUCCCAGUCUAACUGGGCCCUUCACAGGGCCUAUGUGCCUGCAGAAAGCAUUAAAGGCAAAAGGAUAUUUUUAACGGCAAGGGUAAUUAACCCCUCGCCCAGCUUACCAGAAGAUGAUGGAGUCUCUUUUUAAAGACGGUAUCUUUCCAAAUGAUGCACAUUUCUUUAUGGGUCUGUAGGAUGGGGGUGAGGAAUAGAGAAUGGCUAUGGGCUGUGAUCCAGGUGCUUUGUCCUCCUCUUUUCCAGAAAGACACCGCUUUGGGGUCUGCCCUCUCUCUUGUGUUACGCUGCAUCAAGGCAACUGCCUGGAAUAACUAUGUGAGCAGCACUGAGCAAUGUUCUUCUCCUGUGUAUUUUGGCAGCCAGGAGGAGAAUAGAUUUGCUAUCAAUAUAUAUGACACGAAAAUUGCAGGCAAUGGGAUCUAACCCUUCAGGAAGCCCUGUCUGAAAGCAGGGGCACAUACCCACUGCAUUAUUUAUCCUCUCACGUGGUGAUUACAUAAAUUGCCUCAGCAAUUUCACUGGAAAAGGUUCCUUGAACCUCUUUACUUCCCACCCUGAAAAAAAUGUGUUUUAUGCAAUGGACACAGAUGGCUCCAGAAGGGAUGUAUGCAGGGAGGGCAGGGAGCCUCGGAUGCUGCAUUAAUACCAACUUCUCUCUGCCUUUGCAGCUCACCUUUAGCAGGGAUAAGAGCAAAUUCCCCGGCAGAUCGAGCACCAUCAAGCACCUGACAAGUCUUAUGAACACUUUCAAGAGCCAGGCUUGAGAGCUCGAGCACUUACUCAUUUAUUGCUUUGAUAUUAAAAACAGAGUCACAGAUAUUAAAACAGAGAGACUCUGAAUACAGGGGAGAUAUGAUCUGUUCUGUAUACGGAAAUUGCUCAGCUUCAUGUUCUACAUGGCGCUUCAGAUUACAAAAAAGACCUACAGAGUCCCAUUUGUCAGGGAGCUUUUCUAAGGGACCAAAAGCAGAACAUGAGCAAUAGAAAAGCUUCCAGGUUUCCCAGUUCCAUCUUGCAACUCUUGCAAAAAUCAGCCCCACACCUAAAGUUUGAGGUCCCCAAUACUCUUCUCUGCUAUGAGACACCUGAUUUUCUUCAGCCCUGCAGUCAAAACAGCCAUCUGCAAAUCUCACCCUGCAAUUGCUGGAGUUCCUCACCAGAGGGAUACUUCUAAACUGAAAAGUGUAAAUCCAUUGUGAUGGUUGGACACACACACGGACUACAGUGAUGAUACCUUUGUACAAAGCACUCCUUUAAUGGAAACAGUAUACAGUGAUGCUAAGCACAUAACUUUGCACAGUAAGCUUUUGCCAGUGUAACUUAAUCCAAAAAUCCAACUGUUCCCCAAGAGGAACAAGCUGCAUUGCCAGUGGCAUUGUUUUGCUGGUAACUGUGCAUCUGCACUGGAGCAUUUUGCAGGCAGUUCCCCCCCAUCCAUGCAGCCAGAAUGGCUCCCUGGCCACAGGAAGGAAUGAGGAGACAGCAUUGGGCAGCUGUGCUCAGCCCAGUCUGCAGCAGCAAAGCAGUACUAUACGUCUGCUGGUACAAAUCAGUGCAACAUAAAAAGAUCCUGAAAACCACAUUUUCACAAAUCCAAUGGAUGAAAACACAAAGGAAGUAUGGAGGGACAAGGAACAUACAGUAUUGAGGAAGUAAAGGCAUCACUUCCCACAGCCCAUCCACAGCUGUUUUCAUCUUCCCAGAGCGAGCUCUAUUCCACACCUGCAUCUGUCCCAAGAGCAAUUGGAGACUGUUCCUUUAAAAAAACAAAAACAAAAACAAAAAACCCCAAACAAAUAAUAAUUAAAAAAAAAAACACCAAAAGAAACCCAAACAACAGUGGAGGUCACUAAUUUGGGAACUCAUUGGCGCCAGCUGACUGCAAGGAGCCAGAGCUACUAAAUAGGUGUGAGCACUGGUGGAGAAGAUGUUAGAGAGUAGUAGUGCUGUUUGGUAAUCUGAUGUGUGAAUUAAAAAGAACACAGACUGAGCUGGAGAAGUCCACCAGUGGGAAGAAGCUGCAUGAAGAGCCUUAGGAGAGUCAGCCUAGGAAGAUAAUGCUGGACUGGAGAGAGACAUCCCUAUUUCCACCAGAAGCCUGGACCAGCACUCAGAGUAAAGAAAGGACUUGGAGCGCUGUGCUAUGCUGAGAGACCACACUGAAGAAACAGCUUGGGCUCACCUCGCUGCUGCAUGCUGGGAAGGAGCCGGCAGCCCUGCUGAGUUCACGUGGCGGUCCCUGGGCUCAAGGACUUGGCACAGAGAGUUGAAAGAAGUGCUGCACAGUGACAUCCGCUCUCCUUCCCUGCUCAACAGAACCUGUUGCACUGAACCUGGUCACGCUGGAGAUGGUGGAAAGGCUUAAGUUCAAAUUCACAGACCUAAAA